UUCAUUUCGGACUCAGACAGGCUUAGUAAAAUGCUUUGAGAGUGAAGUCUGAGCUGUAGCUUAGCGUUUCGAGAGCAGACUGGAGCGGACAACUCGGCCAAGAGUAGAUGAGCGAUUAUAUCUUAAAGGGAGGGGCUUGAACUGGUAUUCAGUUUGGUUUUAUCAUUGAGUGUUGUGGAGGACUGACUGCAGACUGGCUCUCUCUCCUCUCCUCUCACUCGACUCAAGAGCUCUACUUUGUCCGGUUAAGAUCCACAGGGCACAAUCAUGGAGGAAAUGGACUUUGAGCGUCGCCGGGAGCUGCGGAGGCAGAAACGGGAGGAGAUGCGCCUGGAGGCUGAACGGUUGGCGAGAAAUGAUGAUGAUGAAGAAGAGGCGGCCCGCGAGAGGAGGCGCAGGGCACGGCAGGAGAGGCUGAGGAGCAGGGACAGCGAGGAGCCCAGCGGACAGCCAGACAGUUUGGUCAUGACCAACAGCCACAGUGUGACAGAGACAGUGUCUGUGAGCAGCUCUUAUGGAGGCGUUGGAGACGAAGAUGACCAAGCCCUGCUGGACCGCAUGGCCAAACGCGAGGAGAGACGGCAAAGACGCAUGAAAGAGGCACUGGAGAGACAGAGCCAGCCAGACCCCACCGCGACAGAGGACAACGGCAGCAUCGCCACGGAGAAAAACAACGAGGAAGAGGAGAGGCCCUCCUCCUGGCGUAGGGGUCGUUACCGUGAUAAUGAGGAAGAAGAGGAGAAGACAUUCACGUACAGCUCAAGGAGAGAGGAGACGGAGCGAGAGGAGCCGAGAGAGGAAGAGGAGGCUGCUCCUGACGGUGGAGAGGAAGCAGAGGAGGGUGUAGAUGAGGAGGAGGAGGAGGAGGAGGAGCAGAAAGUGGAAGUGGAAGAGGACAAACCAAGAAGGUCUUACUUGAGAGAAGAGGAAUCAACUGAAGAGCCUAAAACUCAAAACAAGGAGCUUGCUGAAGAAGAAACACAUUCAGUAGUCAGUGAAAGUUCAAAUCAGGCCAAGUCAGCAAAUUCAGAGGCUGAGGAGUAUGCAGUAGAAUCAGGGGAGGCUGAAGAGAUACCUGAGGAUGAUAAUGUAGAUAAUUCAUCAGAGAACAAGCCUAUGACACUCAUAAAUGAAGAGGACAAUGAAGUAUCUGAGAUACUGCACUCAGAGGAUUAUGAGGUGGAUGAGAGAGGCGGGGCCAGGGAGGAGAGGGAGGAGCAGAGGAAGCAGAACGGAGGGUUUCAUGAGGAAGCGGCUCCCAAACAACACAGGAAACCUGAGAGGACCGUCAGUCGCGGCAGUGUGCGUUCCCCCGAGGUGUCCGCGGGCGACGACCAGGACGACGCUGCCCGCCUAGAGGCAGAGCGCAAGCUGGAGGAGCUUAAACGCCGCCGCGACGACGCAGAGAGUGAGGAGUUUGAGAGGAUGAGGCAGAAGCAGCAGGAGGCCGAAGCCGAGCUGGAGGAGCUGAAGAGGAAGAGGGAGGAGAGAAGGAAGGUGCUGGAGGAGGAAGAGAGGCAGAAGAAGCAGGAAGAGGCAGAGAGGAAAGCCAAAGAGGAGGAGGAGAAGAGGAAGAUGAAGGAGGAGAUCGAAAGGAGGAGAGCAGAGGCAGCCGAGAAGAGACAGAAGGUGGAGGACACUAUGGAUGGGGAGGAUAAACCCUUCAAGUGUGUCAGCCCCCGAGGCUCCUCCCUGAAGAUCGGAGAGCGGGCAGAGUUCCUCAACAAGUCGGCACAGAAAAGCAGCUCAGUGAAGAUGUCUCAUUCUCCUGUGGUGUCCAAGAUAGACAACAGGCUGGAGCAGUACACCUCAGCUGCUCAGCAGAGAGAGAACAAGGAGUCUCGUUCCCCUCGCUCAGGAGCGGUGGAUCUGCCCAUGGUCACCGACAGCAUACGAAACAUCAAGAGCAUGUGGGAGAAAGGCAACGUGUUCACCUCGCCUGGAAGUGGCGGGAGCACGUUCAAGGAAGCAGCUGUGAUGAAGACAGGCGUGGCAGGCCGCAUCAACGACUGGCUGAAUAAAACCCCGGAGAGCGGCAAAACGUCAGGAGGAAGGCCAACGGACCUGAAGCCUGUUGACGUCACCAACAAGAGGAGUCUAUGGGAAAACAAAGGCGCCUCUCCAACCAAGAACUCUCAUAGCUAGUUGACCUCACCAUUAAAUCUGGAAUAAGCCUGGAGAGGUGGCAGGCAGAGGAGAGACCAAAUCAGUCGCCAAUGGGAUGGGGCACUAAUGUCUUGAAGGAGCCACUGAAGACGGGGACCACGACAAUCCAAGACUCUUCCUUUGACUUUGUCUUAAGAACCAAAUAAUGACCACACUCCCAAGGGGGACCCCAAGAAAACGGAGGGACAGGAGAGACGCUGUCCAAGCACUGUACCCAAACAAGAUCAUAUUUUUGUACGGUUGCCACGUGUAGUGCCUUUGCACAAUGAUUUUUGCUUUCUAAAAGAAACGAAAUGCUGUGAAAUUUGGACAUUUGUAAUUACUGUUACUAAUUACUUCAUACAAUCCUGCCAGGAAGAAAAAAACUAAUUAAAUUUAGAUUUAUCUCUUGUACUCCAUGCCUACAGUUUUGAUAGAGACAGAGUAGAUGAGUUAAAAGUUUCCACAUUCCAAAGAGAUGGGUGAAAUCAGUUCUCUCCCUCACACAGAUCAUUUUCCAUCUCUUUUUUUUUUUAUUUAUAUUUAAAGCAAAAGCUUCACACAUUGCUAUUUUAUUCAACGUUCACCAGUUCAGGAUAGAAAUAUAAGCACUUCUAGAAUUUAGCUGAUUUCACUUUUAUUAUGUCUUACCAAUAGUGCAGCAUUGGUCUGAGUAAUAUAUGUUAGCACAUGUGAUGUUUUGAAUAUGACCUAUCAUACUGUAUCAUAUAUAACAUCUCUAUACUCCUAACAAAAGGUAUUUUUGCUUUUUUGUAUCCAGAAACUAUUCACCAAUGGGCAGUUAAUUUUGGAGGUGACAGGAGUGUUGAAUAUUCAGAAGGCCAUUAUGACUUUUAUUAUCCUUUAUGUCAUUUAAUUUAUGUGUUUUUAAUGUGUUUUUCUUUUCUAUUUCAAGCUGUUUUUGUAGCUUUUGUAUCUGUUCGAUCACUUUAAAAUCUUCAGACAUUCCUCUUAAAAAGCAGGUGCACAAGGUGCCUUCACUGCUCAAAAGCUGUAGGUUUUGUAAUGUAGGAAAUCGGCAAACCAGCCUUUUUUUUUUUUUUAAUCUACCUUUAACUUCUUUUUUGCCUCUAUGCACACUCUUAUGCUCAGCGAUCAUUUUCUAAUUGAGGGCAUACAAAGUAAAAUCAGGGUGCCUAAGUAUUUAGCAAGAUACAGUACAAGGAUAUUUACCACUAUGUAACUCUUCUGGCCUUAUGAUUGCAAUGACAACAUUUAUGACAGCUGAGGUACAGUACAUAAAAGCCUCAAAGCAACUCAGUAUGAUAUUAAGACUUGUGAUUUUCAUGUUUAUUUUUCACUAACAUGGUCUUAAGUAGCGCAUUCCCUUUCACUAGUUUUUGCGCGACACAAGCUUUGACAAGCACAUGAAUGGUUUGACAGGGCAUUAAAUUGAUCCAUGUUACUGCUCAAAAGUCUGACAAUCACAUUCCAUUGCUCCUGAAAAGAGCAGGGGGGCUUGACCAAAAUAUUUUUAAGCGUGAUUUAAUGUGACAUUUAUGUUUUUUAAUACAAUGGUUUCAUAAUGCCGUAUUGUUUUUUCUACAACCUUGUUUUUUUUAAUUCUUUUAUUUCCAUGUUUAACCAGACACUUGUUUGUGUAGCGAUAAGCCUAUGCAAAACACACUAUCUGUAGUCUCUCUAAACACUCCCAAUGUCAUACAAGUGGGCAGUUUCCAACUGGAUGGAUGUUUUAAACAUUGUACCCUUGACUCAACAACAGCAAUAAAGACAUUGAGGUAUUCCA